rnacentral:rRNA from 1 species
GAGUGGCGAACGGGUGAGUAACACGUGGACAACCUGCCUCAAGGCUGGGGAUAACAUUUGGAAACAGAUGCUAAUACCGAAUAAAACUUAGUAUCGCAUGAUACCAGGUUAAAAGGCGCUACGGCGUCACCUAGAGAUGGAUCCGCGGUGCAUUAGUUAGUUGGUGGGGUAAAGGCCUACCAAGACAAUGAUGCAUAGCCGAGUUGAGAGACUGAUCGGCCACAUUGGGACUGAGACACGGCCCAAACUCC